UACGGAGGAUCCAAUCGUUAUCCGGAUUUAUUGGGUUUAAAGGGUGCGUAGGCGGCCUAUUAAGUCAGGGGUGAAAGACGGUGGCUCAACCAUCGCAGUGCCUUUGAUACUGAUAGGCUUGAAUAAACUUGAGGUAGGCGGAAUGUGACAAGUAGCGGUGAAAUGCAUAGAUAUGUCACAGAACACCAAUUGCGAAGGCAGCUUACUAAGGUUUAAUUGACGCUGAGGCACGAAAGCGUGGGGAUCAAACAGG
rnacentral:rRNA from 1 species